UACGUAGGGUGCGAGCGUUAAUCGGAAUUACUGGGCGUAAAGCGUGCGCAGGCGGUUUUUUAAGACGGAUGUGAAAUCCCCGGGCUCAACCUGGGAACUGCAUUCGUGACUGGAAGGCUAGAGUGUGUCAGAGGGGGGUAGAAUUCCACGUGUAGCAGUGAAAUGCGUAGAGAUGUGGAGGAAUACCGAUGGCGAAGGCAGCCCCCUGGGAUAACACUGACGCUCAUGCACGAAAGCGUGGGGAGCAAACAGG
rnacentral:rRNA from 1 species